rnacentral:rRNA from 1 species
AGAAUCAACGCUGGCGGCGUGCCUAACACAUGCAAGUCGAACGAGAAAGUGGAGCAAUCCAUGAGUAAAGUGGCGACCGGGUGAGUAACACGUGACUAACCUACCUUCGAGUGGGGGAUAACCUCGGGAAACCGAGGCUAAUACCGCAUAACAUCGUGAAAUCAAAGCAGUAAUGCGCUGGAAGAGGGGGUCGCGGCUGAUUAGCUAGUUGGCGGGGUAAUGGCCCACCAAGGCGAAGAUCGGUA